rnacentral:tRNA from 1 species
CCCUCCGGCUCCAUGGUACAGCACUUGCUUAACGUCAUCAUGAGGCCCUGGGUUCGAUCCCCAGCGAGGAA